UAAUGAUAUAUGUAGGGUGACCAGAUGUCCCAAUUUUAUAGGGACAGUCCCAAUUUUUGGGUCUUUUUCUUAUACAGGCUCCUAUUACCCCCCCCUCCCCCGCACCCUGUGUCCUGAUUUUUCACAAUUCCUGUCUGGUCACCUUAGAUAUAUGGUGUGAAGGGCAGAAUGCAAUACUAAAUGGGAACAAACUCACCCCAUACUAAAGUCAGGGGACUAUAAAUCAAAACAUUAGGGAUUAAAGUUGGGAGCUAAACUCCCCAGCAGAAGGACUUUUAUAUGGCUUCUUGCCAGCCAGGGGAAAGGUACCUGCUCAGCUGAGAUGCUGGAAGAGAGUUUAGCUAAAGCUGCUGGAAGGACUAUACCAAAGGAACUCUGCUCCAACAGAUACAGACCGGACUGUUUCUUGUUUGUCAUGGAAGAGAGGGAUGGAUGAAUUGUUCCAGUGUCCAUUAAAAUUUCUAUUGCCUGCUGUGUAGUGUCUUCUACGAAGGAGAUGAACCUGCUGCAAAUGAAAUCAGUUGAGGCUGCAUUGUAUUUAUAGAGCAACAGAAAUCUUUGUAGAUUAUUUUUUCCAAGAAUCAUGAAUCUCCUUCAGUGUUACAAGUCACUGUAAUCAAUUAAUAGGAGCCAUAUUUUCAUUUUCAAUUAAAAUACAGGCCAUGCACAGUCUAUGUGCAUCCUGGCAGAUGUUUAAAAGCGUUGGCUCUCAGAGGUGAAAUGUUACCUUAUAUCUGCAGGGGGUGGUGAGAGGGUGUUCCAGGAAUGGAAAGACAUGUUAAAGUGCAGCAUUUCAGACUGUCUUCUUUUCUAAAUUUACAGCAUCAGACUGGCAGUUGUAUAAAUGAAUGAUAGACUGCAAUACUCUUUUCCAAGCAGGCUAUGAAAUGAGGGAGCCUUCAGUUUUGUGCUGAUGUGUCCAGAAUUCAAAUAAUUUGUUUCUUGACUAUAAUGACAAUCGGAAGCAUGGUAUUACCUCGAGAAAAGAGAUGGGAGAGACAGCUGCAGUACCCUGUACUCAUGAAAGAUAUUGCAUUAGCAACUGCUUCCCAGUUAGUCUCUCUACUGAAAACUCUAUUAUGCUGGGCUCUUAUUGCUUUUAUUCAAGGGCACAAAACUAAAAAGUGAUAUUGCUGGCACUAUUCUCAUCUUUCUACCAUGACACUGAAUAAUUGGACAAUGAAAGAAAAUGUUGAAUGAUACUGAUAUUAAACACAUCUAUAGGACAAUG